AUGGAGAAGGUCAUAGAUUCAACUAAUGUUGAGUAUUCCAGAGUAUUUGACAACCACCUUGAGUUACUUAGGAGCAAUCCUGGAAGUACUGUUGCAGUCACAUUAGACCCUGAAGUACAUGACAGGAAUGUCUUUGAGAGGAUGUAUGUCUGUCUAGAUGGCUGCAAGAAAGGUUUUAUGGCUGGAUGCGGAAGAGUUGUUGGGUUAGAUGGUUGUUUUCUGAAGGGGGGGCAGUGCAUGGACAAAUUCUUUCUGCCAUUGUGA
rnacentral:rRNA from 1 species